rfam:Corynebacterium sp. DNF00584 genomic scaffold Scaffold16, whole genome shotgun sequence.
ACUCGGGCACGAUCCUUGGAUGCGCGUGCUGCCGGCUGGCUCCAGUGGGGCUGCGCGGCGAAGCCUCGCAAGGAACCGACCCGUAGUUCAACCCUGAGGGA